rnacentral:rRNA from 1 species
GACGAACGCUGGCGGCGUGCUUAACACAUGCAAGUCGAGCGGUAAGGCCCCUUCGGGGGUACACGAGCGGCGAACGGGUGAGUAACACGUGAGCAAUCUGCCCUUCACUUUGGGAUAACUCUGGGAAACGAGAGCUAAUACCGAAUACGACCACUUCAGGCAUCUGAUGGUGGUGGAAAGUUCCGGCGGUGAAGGAUGAGCUCGCGGCCUAUCAGCUAGUUGGUGGAGUAACGGCCCACCAAGGCUUCGACGGGUAGCCGGCCUGAGAGGGUGACCGGCCACACUGGGACUGAGACACGGCCCAGACUCCUACGGGAGGCAGCAGUGGGGAAUAUUGGACAAUGGGCGGAAGCCUGAUGCAGCGACGCCGCGUGGGGGAUGACGGUCUUCGGAUUGUAAACCCUUUCAGUUAGGGACGAAGCGCAAGUGACGGUACCUGCAGAAGAAGCACCGGCCAACUACGUG